rnacentral:rRNA from 1 species
GCUUACGGCCAUACCACCCUGAAUGUGCCCUAUCUCGUCUGAUCUCGGAAGCUAAGCAGGGUCAGGCCAGGUUAGUACUUGAUGGGGACCGCCUGGGAAUCCAGGUGCGUAAGUU